rnacentral:rRNA from 1 species
AGUGAAGCGGGAAGAGCUCAAAUUUAAAAUCUGGCAGGCUACGCUUGUCCGAAUUGUAAUCUCGAGAAGUGUUUUCCGCGUUGGCCUGUGUACAAGUCCCUUGGAACAGGGCGUCAUAGAGGGUGAGAAUCCCGUCCUUGACACAGACACCCAAUGCUUUGUGAUACACUCUCAAUGAGUCGAGUUGUUUGGGAAUGCAGCUCAAAAUGGGUGGUAAAUUCCAUCUAAAGCUAAAUACUGGCGAGAGACCGAUAGCGAACAAGUACCGUGAGGGAAAGAUGAAAAGCACUUUGGAAAGAGAGUCAAACAGUACGUGAAAUUGUUGAAAGGGAAACGAUUGAAGUCAGUCGUGCCUGCCUAGUCUCAGCCUUUUGGUGUACUACUAGGUCGGCAGGUCAGCAUCAGUUUGGGAGGAUUAACAAGGGAGUUAGGAAUGUGGCAACCUCGGUUGUGUUAUAGCCUAGCUUCGCAUUGAUCUUGCUGGACUGAGGAACGCAGUGCGCCCGCAAGGGUUGGUCUUCGGACACAUUCGCACUUAGGAUGCUGGCAUAAUGGCUUUAAACGACCCGUCUUGA